ACACCCAUUCCCGGCUAACGUCAUACCAAAAUCCAAUCUCUCUCCACAUCAUCUUCUCUUCUCACUAACUAGGGUUUCACUGAUUCCCAACCUCUCAUCGCCUCCCCGUCUCUCUCUCUCUCUCUCUCUCUCUUCCUUCCCAUAAUCAUCUGAACCAGAUCGGAAAAUCAAAUGGUGGGUUUCAACGUUGGCUCCGUCGCCUUCAACUCCGACGGGUGGGGCCCACCCGAAUCCUCCCCCUCCUCCCCUCCUCUCUCUCUCCCCAACCACCCCUCCCACGUCCCCUUUGCCCCCUUCUCCCGCUCCGACAAACUCGGCCGCAUCGCCGACUGGACCCGCUCCAACUACAACCACCCCAGCAACCGAAACCCUAACAACCACCGCAACAACAACCCCUCCGAUUCUGCCUUCGACUUCACAGGCGACGACUCGUUCGGCCUCAACAACCCCGACGACGACUCCUCCUUCCGCCUCGUCGACGGCAAGCCCCCUCCCCGCCCCCGCUUCGGCCCCAAAUGGCGCUUCAACCCCCACUACCACCACCGCAACCAAAACCAGCUCCCCCAGCGCCGCGACGAGGAAGUCGAGGCUAAAAAGCGCGAGGCCGAAAAAGAACGUGCCCGCCGCGACCGCCACUACCACCAGAACCACCGCUCCGGCGGCGCCCACCACCACCAGCGCCGCGAGGCAGCCUCGCUGAAAUCCUCCGUCGACAUCCAGCCGGAGUGGAACAUGCUCGACCAGAUCCCCUUCUCCACCUUCUCCAAGCUCUCCUUCUCCGUCCCAGACCCCGAGGACCUACUCCUCUGCGGCGCCCUAGAGUUCUAUGACCGCUCCUACGACCGCGUCGCACCCAAGAACUCCCGCCCCCUAGAGCGCUUCAAAAACCGAAACUUCUUCAAGGUCACCACCACCGACGAUCCAGUCAUCCGUCGCCUCGCCAACGAGGAUAAAGCCACCGUUUUCGCCACCGACUCGAUUUUAUCAACCCUCAUGUGCGCUCCCAGGUCUGUUUACUCAUGGGAUAUUGUUAUUCAGCGUGUUGGUAAUAAGCUAUUCUUCGAUAAACGCGAUGGGUCCCAGCUGGACUUGCUUUCCGUCCACGAGACCUCCCAGGAGCCCUUGCCCGAGUCAAAGGAGGAUAUUAACUCGGCAUACUCGUUAUCUGUCGAGGCGGCUUAUAUAAACCAGAAUUUCUCCCAGCAGGUUCUGAUUAGGGAUGGGAAUAAGGUGGAGUUUGAAGAAGGAAACCCGUUUGCUAACGAGGGGGAGGAGGUGGCGUCAGUGGCGUAUAGGUACAGGAGGUGGAAGCUGGAUAAUGAUAUGUAUUUGGUGGCGAGGUGUGAGGUGCAGAGUGUGGUGGAGGUGAAUAACCAGAGGAGUUUUGUUACGCUGAAUGCAUUGAACGAGUUCGAUUCGAAGUAUUCGGGGGUGGAUUGGAGGCAGAAGUUGGAGACGCAGAGGGGAGCUGUUUUGGCUACUGAGUUGAAGAACAAUGCGAACAAGUUGGCGAAGUGGACUUCACAGGCGCUUUUGGCUAGCGCGGAUAUGAUGAAGUUGGGGUAUGUUUCGAGGGUGCAUCCACGGGAUCAUUUUAACCAUGUGAUAUUGGCUGUGGUGGGGUAUAAGCCGAGGGAUUUCGCGGCGCAGAUUAAUUUGAAUACGUCGAACAUGUGGGGGAUUGUGAAGUCGAUUGUGGACUUGUGUAUGAAGUUGAAUGAGGGGAAGUACGUGCUUGUGAAGGAUCCGUCGAAGCCCCAAGUGAGAAUUUACGAGGUUCCAGCGGAUGCGUUUGAGAAUGAUUAUAUGGAGGAGCCUCUGCCGGAGGAAGAACAGGUGCAGCCGCCUGCGGAGGAUGCGGAAGGUGGGGAGGAAAUUGCAGCUGCAAUGGAUGUCGAGGAGAAAGAGAUCACCGCUGAGGCUUGAAGGAUGCACUAUCAUGAUUUUGGCUAACCUGACUCUGGUGUAUAUUGUAGCCUACCGUGAUCUUGGCUAACCUCUAGAGAAUAUGAAGUUUUGGCAUUUGUGACGACUUACAAACUUGUGUAGCAAGCAAUUCGAGUACGUUGCUGCAGAGGGAAUGCACUGGUGAAGUCUUGCAGUCCUUGUUCGGGAUCGUGCUUUUCUUUCAUAUAAAGUUUUGUUUUUUAAGCUGUCUAGUGUUGGGAAGUAUCUUCUUUUGCUCUGUUUGGCCUUUGACAUAGAUCCAUUUAAUUUGAGCUUGGAUAUGCGAGUACAUCUCACUAGUUUUACGGAUUUUGGUCCAUUGAGGUUUUGGGCUUGUUUGAUAAAUGAUGAUGCUUAUGUGUUUUUUCCC